UGGAACAGGAGUACUAGAAGCCUAUCUCAUGGAUUCUGACAAAUUCUUCCAGAUUCCAGCAUCAGAAGUUCUGAUGGAUGAUGACCUUCAGAAAAGUGUGGAUAUGAUCAUGGAUAUGUUUUGUCCUCCAGGAAUAAAAAUUGAUGCAUAUCCGUGGUUGGAAUGCUUCAUCAAGUCAUACAAUGUCACAAAUGGAACAGAUAAUCAAAUUUGCUAUCAGAUUUUUGACACCACAGUUGCAGAAGAUGUAAUCUAAUAUUGCCAUCCAAUUUAGCAUACAUAAAAUGUUGCCACUCACCUUCCCUGUUUGAGCUUCUUUUCCUGACCUGAGUUUUGUAUCAGCAAUGUUGAUGAUGUUAGCAUGGGUAUGGGAUUAGAAAAUGUCCUUACCUUAAAUCUCUUGGCUUUUACUGGGUGCAAGGAAGCCCUCAAUCUAGAAGAGUAGAGGUCCAAAGGUGCCAUAUGUUCACACUGUGAGCCUGCAAGAUCUCCACGUUAACAAAGGAAAACUCUUCCUAUGAAUCUUCAUGAUGAUAGGCCAUGUCUCUUCUUAUUUUUGUUUUAAAUAAACAUCCACCUUAUCAUGA
rnacentral:lncRNA from 10 species